rnacentral:rRNA from 1 species
UACAGAGGGGGCAAGCGUUGUUCGGAAUUACUGGGCGUAAAGGGCGCGUAGGCGGCCUUCUAAGUCGAACGUGAAAUCCCCGGGCUCAACCCGGGAACUGCGUCCGAUACUGGAAGGCUUGAAUUCGGGAGAGGGAUGCGGAAUUCCAGGUGUAGCGGUGAAAUGCGUAGAUAUCUGGAGGAACACCGGUGGCGAAGGCGGCAUCCUGGACCGACACUGACGCUGAGGAGCGAAAGCCAGGGGAGCAAACGGG